rnacentral:rRNA from 1 species
AGCAGCCGCGGUAAUUCCAGCUCCAAUAGCGUAUAUUAAAGUUGUUGCAGUUAAAAAGCUCGUAGUUGAAUUUCGGGAUUAGUAGGUUGGUCGUGCCUCUGGUAUGUACUCGCCUUACUGAUUCCUCCUUCUUGAAGAACUGUAAUGCCAUUAAUUUGGUGUUGCAGGGAAACAGGACUGUUACUUUGAAAAAAAUUAGAGUGUUUAAAGCAGGCCAUUGCCUGAAUACAUUAACAUGGAAUAAUGAAAUAGGACGUUGAUCCUAUUUUGUUGGUUUCUAGGAUUGACGUAAUGAUUAAUAGGGAUAGUUGGGGGGCAUUAGUAUUCAAUUGUCAGAGGUGAAAUCCUUGGAUUUAUUGAAGACUAACUACUGCGAAAGCAUUUGCCAAGGAUGUUUUCAUUAAUCAAGAACGAAAGUUAGGGGAUCGAAGACGAUCAGAUACCGUCGUAGUCUUAACCAUAAACUAUGCCGACUAGGGAUCGGAUGAUGUUAAUUUUUAAUGACUCAUUCGGCGCCUUA